GGUCCAGACUCCUACGGGAGGCAGCAGUGGGGAAUAUUGCACAAUGGGGGAAACCCUGAUGCAGCGACGCCGCGUGAGUGAAGAAGUAUUUCGGUAUGUAAAGCUCUAUCAGCAGGGAAGAAAAUGACGGUACCUGACUAAGAAGCCCCGGCUAACUACGUGCCAGCAGCCGCGGUAAUACGUAGGGGGCAAGCGUUAUCCGGAUUUACUGGGUGUAAAGGGAGCGUAGACGGCAUGGCAAGUCAGAUGUGAAAGCCCGGGGCUCAACCCCGGGACUGCAUUUGAAACUGUCAGGCUGGAGUGCAGGAGAGGUAAGUGGAAUUCCUAGUGUAGCGGUGAAAUGCGUAGAUAUACGGAGGAACACCAGUGGCGAAGGCGGAUUGCUGGACAGUAACUGACGCUGAGGCGCGAAAGCGUGGGGAGCAAACAGGAUUAGAUACCCUGGU
rnacentral:rRNA from 1 species